UACGAAGGGGGCUAGCGUUGCUCGGAAUCACUGGGCGUAAAGGGUGCGUAGGCGGGUCUUUUAAGUCAGGGGUGAAAUCCUGGAGCUCAACUCCAGAACUGCCUUUGGUACUGAAGAUCUUGAGUUCGGGAGAGGUGAGUGGAACUGCGAGUGUAGAGGUGAAAUUCGUAGAUAUUCGCAAGAACACCAGUGGCGAAGGCGGCUCACUGGCCCGAUACUGACGCUGAGGCACGAAAGCGUGGGGAGCAAACAGGG
rnacentral:rRNA from 1 species